rnacentral:rRNA from 1 species
AAUAGAUACCCUGGUAGUCCACGCCGUAAACGAUGAGUGCUAAGUGUUAGAGGGUUUCCGCCCUUUAGUGCUGCAGCAAACGCAUUAAGCACUCCGCCUGGGGAGUACGGUCGCAAGACUGAAACUCAAAGGAAUUGACGGGGGCCCGCACAAGCGGUGGAGCAUGUGGUUUAAUUCGAAGCAACGCGAAGAACCCUACCAGGUCUUGACAUCCUUCGCUACUUCUAGAGAUAGAAGGUUCCCCUUCGGGGGACGGAGUGACAGGUGGUGCAUGGUUGUCGUCAGCUCGUGUCGUGAGAUGUUGGGUUAAGUCCCGCAACGAGCGCAACCCUUGACCUUAGUUGCCAGCAUUCAGUUGGGCACUCUAAGGUGACUGCCGGUGACAAACCGGAGGAAGGUGGGGAUGACGUCAAAUCAUCAUGCCCCUUAUGACCUGGGCUACACACGUGCUACAAUGGAUGGUACAAAGGGCUGCAAGACUGCGAAGUCAAGCCAAUCCCAUAAAACCAUUCUCAGUUCGGAUUGCAGG